rnacentral:rRNA from 1 species
UGCCAGCCGCCGCGGUAAUACGGAGGGUGCAAGCGUUAUCCGGAAUCACUGGGUUUAAAGGGUGCGUAGGCGGAAAAAUAAGUCAGAUGUGAAAGCUUUCAGCUCAACUGGAAAAUUGCAUUUGAUACUGUUAUUCUUGAAUUAGGUUGAGGUUAGCGGAAUGUGACAUGUAGCGGUGAAAUGCUUAGAUAUGUCAUAGAACACCAAUUGCGAAGGCAGCUAACUGGGCCUUAAUUGACGCUGAGGCACGAAAGCGUGGGGAGCGAACAGGAUUAGAUA